GUAACAUCCGGCAAUACGAAAUAAUUGAAGAGGCUUAGAAUUGGAAAUUUUCAUUUUUGGAAAGAAUUUUAAAGUUUUGGAAAUUUUGGCUAAGUAUGGAAAAUGUGAAUUUUUGGCCAACUUUGAACAGCCAUAAAUUCUAGCUCAGGAUGAGUUAGGUGGAAUUCCAGUUAUGGUUGCAAAGUUCGUGGAACGAUCUUUCCAACGCCACUGAGUUUGCUCGAUUCCGAGUUCGUAUGAGUGAGAUAUGCCCUUUGAAAGUUGGGCAGUUGACAAGGAAUUCCGUCCGGGAAUCAUUAAGGGCAUUUUGGUCUUUUCCCUAGCNN
rnacentral:lncRNA from 1 species